rnacentral:rRNA from 1 species
UACGUAGGGGGCAAGCGUUGUCCGGAUUUAUUGGGCGUAAAGAGCGUGUAGGCGGCCAUACAGGUCCGUUGUGAAAACUGGAGGCUUAACCUCCAGACGUCGAUGGAAACCGUAUGGCUAGAGUCCGGAAGAGGAGAGUGGAAUUCCUGGUGUAGCGGUGGAAUGCGCAGAUAUCAGGAGGAACACCGGUGGCGAAGGCGGGUCUCUGGGCCGUAACUGACGCUGAGGAGCGAAAGCGUGGGGAGCGAACAGG